UGUUACUUAGUACUAUUAAUAU
rnacentral:snRNA from 1 species